rnacentral:piRNA from 1 species
GUUGGGCAACGAAAGGUCUCUCCAGC